ensembl:snRNA U4 U4 spliceosomal RNA
AGCGUUGUACAGUGGCAGUAUCAUAGCCAAUGAGACUUAUCUGAGGCACGAUUAUUUGCUAAUUGAAACGUAAGUAGAAAUUUAAAAUAAAUGCAGUAUUUAAGAAGACUCAGUUUGAUUUCAGAACCCCAAUCUUUAGG